rnacentral:piRNA from 1 species
UGUCAGCAGAGUCAGGCAGCAGUGGA